UACACGAAAGAGGGGGUAAAAACCGGACUGGGGCUUCAAGAGUGUGGGGACUAUAUUUGUAUUUUCUCCCAGUGUAUUCACAGUGCAUCUGGUUCACCAAAGGAACUAUACUCUGGGGGUGAUUUUAUCGAUGUGUGGCAGAAGGACUAUGGAAUGGCGAGCUACUUGUGCAUCUCUUCUGUUCCGUGUGGUCAUGUUGGCAGCUUGAAAUUUAUCAAGUGGGAAGCAUUUACAUCAAAGAAAUUGGCAAGCUGGCAAACAAGGAAACAAGGAGAACUGUGUGCUCAGCCCUCCACAGUGGCAUGGAUUAUGAGGAGGUGAUGGUCCUUCCCUGCCAAGCUCCUGAGACACUGUCACUCCAGAAUCCAAAAAAGAGAUUCAGGCAGGGAUGUGGGAAAAUUGGAACCCUGCACGCUGUUGUUAGGAAUGCCAAAUGGUGCAGCUGCUAUGGAAAACAGUACGGAGGUU